UACGGAGGAUCCGAGCGUUAUCCGGAUUUAUUGGGUUUAAAGGGAGCGUAGGUGGAUUGUUAAGUCAGUUGUGAAAGUUUGCGGCUCAACCGUAAAAUUGCAGUUGAAACUGGCAGUCUUGAGUACAGUAGAGGUGGGCGGAAUUCGUGGUGUAGCGGUGAAAUGCUUAGAUAUCACGAAGAACUCCGAUUGCGAAGGCAGCUCACUGGACUGCAACUGACACUGAGGCUCGAAAGUGUGGGUAUCAAAUAGG
rnacentral:rRNA from 1 species